rnacentral:rRNA from 1 species
CUUAAAUUGAAGAGUUUGAUCAUGGCUCAGAUUGAACGCUGGCGGCAGGCCUAACACAUGCAAGUCGAGCGGUAGCACAGAGGAGCUUGCUCCUUGGGUGACGAGCGGCGGACGGGUGAGUAAUGUCUGGGAAACUGCCUGAUGGAGGGGGAUAACUACUGGAAACGGUAGCUAAUACCGCAUAACCUCGCAAGAGCAAAGAGGGGGACCUUAGGGCCUCUCGCCAUCAGAUGUGCCCAGAUGGGAUUAGCUAGUAGGUGAGGUAAUGGCUCACCUAGGCGACGAUCCCUAGCUGGUCUGAGAGGAUGACCAGCCACACUGGAACUGAGACACGGUCCAGACUCCUACGGGAGGCAGCAGUGGGGAAUAUUGCACAAUGGGCGCAAGCCUGAUGCAGCCAUGCCGCGUGUGUGAAGAAGGCCUUCGGGUUGUAAAGCACUUUCAGCGAGGAGGAAGGCGGUAAGGUUAAUAACCUUAUCGAUUGACGUUACUCGCAGAAGAAGCACCGGCUAACUCCGUGCCAGCAGCCGCGGUAAUACGGAGGGUGCAAGCGUUAAUCGGAAUGACUGGGCGUAAAGCGCACGCAGGCGGUCUGUUAAGUUGGAUGUGAAAUCCCCGGGCUUAACCUGGGAACUGCAUUCAAAACUGACAGGCUAGAGUCUUGUAGAGGGGGGUAGAAUUCCAGGUGUAGCGGUGAAAUGCGUAGAGAUCUGGAGGAAUACCGGUGGCGAAGGCGGCCCCCUGGACAAAGACUGACGCUCAGGUGCGAAAGCGUGGGGAGCAAACAGGAUUAGAUACCCUGGUAGUCCACGCUGUAAACGAUGUCGAUUUGGAGGUUGUGCCCUUGAGGCGUGGCUUCCGGAGCUAACGCGUUAAAUCGACCGCCUGGGGAGUACGGCCGCAAGGUUAAAACUCAAAUGAAUUGACGGGGGCCCGCACAAGCGGUGGAGCAUGUGGUUUAAUUCGAUGCAACGCGAAGAACCUUACCUACUCUUGACAUCCAGAGAAUUCGCUAGAGAUAGCUUAGUGCCUUCGGGAACUCUGAGACAGGUGCUGCAUGGCUGUCGUCAGCUCGUGUUGUGAAAUGUUGGGUUAAGUCCCGCAACGAGCGCAACCCUUAUCCUUUGUUGCCAGCGAUUCGGUCGGGAACUCAAAGGAGACUGCCGGUGAUAAACCGGAGGAAGGUGGGGAUGACGUCAAGUCAUCAUGGCCCUUACGAGUAGGGCUACACACGUGCUACAAUGGCGUAUACAAAGAGAAGCGACCUCGCGAGAGCAAGCGGACCUCAUAAAGUACGUCGUAGUCCGGAUUGGAGUCUGCAACUCGACUCCAUGAAGUCGGAAUCGCUAGUAAUCGUAGAUCAGAAUGCUACGGUGAAUACGUUCCCGGGCCUUGUACACACCGCCCGUCACACCAUGGGAGUGGGUUGCAAAAGAAGUAGGUAGCUUAACCUUCGGGAGGGCGCUUACCACUUUGUGAUUCAUGACUGGGGUGAAGUCGUAACAAGGUAACCGUAGGGGAACCUGCGGUUGGAUCACCUCCUUACCAAGAAG